rnacentral:lncRNA from 1 species
ACUGGCAUCAUGGCACUGGCGUCAUGGCACUAAGCCACUCAGACCAGCUACCUGUGACCCUGGUUCUCCAAGAAGCAGACGUUGGUCUAAGCCUUCAAGAGCUGCCUUAGGGUUUGGGAGAAGUUGGAAUUAACCCAAGGUCAAGUCCUUUCUUUUGCCUCCGAGAUGACCAAAUGCACUUGUGUCUUCUGUUUGUUGCUUGUUGAGUAAGCAGCUGGCACGCCUGUGGAGGAGGAGGCCUUGCCUCAACGUUCCUGGGUCAGUCCCGAGUUCUCCCAAUGGCUUUGUGAAUGUAAAUAAGGGCAGUUCAGGGCCCUGAAGGAGUGAGAUGUUUUUCUAUAUUUUAGAACUAUUUUUGGAUAAAUUAUAUAUUUUCCUUCCUGAUUGAAUCAUCAUCACUCCCUGUAACUAGCGAAAACCACCAGUCCAGACCUUAUCCAUUCUACUCAUUCACAGUUUUAAAAACUGCCAUGCAGUGAUUUCGGCACUCUGGGGCCAGACAGCAGCUCCCUGUCAGACGGCCAACAAGAGUUCUCUGGAAUGCUUGUGAGUCCGUUCCCACAGGCUCACAGUGUCAGGAGAGAGUGGCAGAUGCUCCAGUUUCACUUAAGCAGUGGUAAACGUUUGAAGGUUCGUUUUUUGUUGGAACUCCGGAUGUAGACUAGCCUAGCCUCAGAUCCUCCGUGAGUAUGCCUACCAAAUGUUGUGAUUAAAGAGGCAGGCGUCACCACACCUGAUAAAUAUUUUCUUCAAGGGAACCAGAGUUUGGUUCUUUAUGCAAAUUUUUUCCCAAUGAAAUAAAACAUAGUUAACUGUGUUUGAUGUGAAAUAAUAGAUUGUGGGUAGAGGUGAGGCCAAAAAAAAGGUUGUGGGGUGGGGGAAAGAAGGUUGCCGCCUCGACUGCUUACCUUUGGAGAAAACCUGGAGUGGACUUCAGUGGGCAUUCGUGCUAAGUCACCCUCAUCGGUAAAAUACUGCAAAGAACUAACAACAACAGGUUAGUGUUGGCUCCUGAACAGUAAACCGCUCUGACUGAGCUUCAGUCACCCUCUUCUGUACGAGCCUCAUGCAAUUAGUUGCCUCUUCUUGAUAUUUUAUUUCAUAAUUUUAUUAUAUAUUUAUUUGGAAUAUUUAUUAAAUUUCUUUUUCUGACUU